rnacentral:rRNA from 1 species
GUGUGAAAAACUCCGGUGGUGUGAGAUGGAUCCGCGUCUGAUUAGCCAGUUGGCGGGGUAACGGCCCACCAAAGCGACGAUCAGUAGCCGGCCUGAGAGGGUGACCGGCCACAUUGGGACUGAGACACGGCCCAAACUCCUACGGGAGGCAGCAGUGGGGAAUAUUGCACAAUGGGCGAAAGCCUGAUGCAGCGACGCCGCGUGAGUGAAGAAGUAUUUCGGUAUGUAAAGCUCUAUCAGCAGGGAAGAAAAUGACGGUACCUGACUAAGAAGCCCCGGCUAACUACGUGCCAGCAGCCGCGGUAAUACGUAGGGGGCAAGCGUUAUCCGGAUUUACUGGGUGUAAAGGGAGCGUAGACGGCGAAGCAAGUCUGAAGUGAAAACCCAGGGCUCAACCCUGGGACUGCUUUGGAAACUGUUUUGCUAGAGUGUCGGAGAGGUAAGUGGAAUUCCUAGUGUAGCGGUGAAAUGCGUAGAUAUUAGGAGGAACACCAGUGGCGAAGGCGGCUUACUGGACGGUAACUGACGUUGAGGCUCGAAAGCGUGGGGAGCAAACAGGAUUAGAUACCCUGGUAGUCCACGCCGUAAACGAUAAAUGCUAGGUGUUGGGGGGCAAAGCCCUUCGGUGCC